rnacentral:rRNA from 1 species
UACAGAGGGCUCAAGCGUUGUUCGGAUUCAUUGGGCGUAAAGGGUGCGUAGGCGGCGCGGUAAGUCGGGUGUGAAAUCUCGGGGCUUAACUCCGAAACUGCAUUCGAUACUACCGUGCUUGAGGACUGGAGAGGAGACUGGAAUUUACGGUGUAGCGGUGAAAUGCGUAGAUAUCGUAAGGAAGACCAGUGGCGAAGGCGGGUCUCUGGACAGUUACUGACGCUGAGGCACGAAGGCCAGGGGAGCAAACGGG